UACCUGGUUGAUCCUGCCAGUAGUCAUAUGCUUGUCUCAAAGAUUAAGCCAUGCAUGUCUCAGUUCAGGCCUUAAUACGGUGAGACCGCGAAUGGCUCAUUAAAUCAGCUAUGGUUUAUUGGAUCGUGCCCGUUAGAUGGAUAACUGUAAUAACUCUAGAGCUAAUACAUGCCUCGAUGCCCUGACCCUGCUCAUGUUUGCCUUGCUUGCAUGUGGGGGGGAUGGGUGCACUUAUUAGAUCAGAAGCCAACCAACUGUGCGGGUGCAGCUCACUGCGAGGUGGACGUCGCGUGCGUUGAGACACUUACUUCUGGAGACUCUGGAUAAUUGUUACAGAUCGCAGUCGGCGUUGAGUCGGCGACGGGUCUUCAAAUGUCUGCCCUAUCAACUUUCGAUGGUAGGUGACCUGCCUACCAUGGUGGUAACGGGGUAACGGGGAAUCAGGGUUCGAUUCCGGAGAGGGAGCCUGAGAAACGGCUACCACUUCCAAGGGAGGCAGCAGGCGCGCAAAUUACCCACUCCCAGCACGGGGAGGUGGUGACGAAAAAUACCGAUGCGGGACUCCUUCAAGAGGCUCCGUAAUCGGAAUGAGUGGACUCUAAACCCCUUCACGAGGAUCAAUUGGAGGGCAAGUCUGGUGCCAGCAGCCGCGGUAACUCCAGCUCCAAUAGCGUAUAUUAAAGUUGCUGCAGUUAAAAAGCUCGUAGUUGGAUCUCGGUGGCAUUGUCGCCUGUUGGUGGAUUGAGCGGCCGGUGUGUGGUUAUCGGUGCGCGGUUGCCUCGGCGCCUGCAUGUUGGUGGGCCGGUCAGUAGUUGGGCUGGUAGGUUGGCGUUUGUUGCGUUAGGGUGGUUGGUUGGUUAGUUGACCAGCUGAUGUGCUCUUUCGUCGCGCGCGCGCUCGCUUGCUGGCCGAUUGGUGAGCUGGCUCGCUCGUUCGCCUGCAGCGUUGGGGGGGCUGUGCAGUCGCGGCCAUGAGCAAGCACUGUCGCGUCAAGCCGACGAGGUGGUGGUGUCGCCUUUAAGCCAUGUCUGUGGUGUAGUCGUCGCAGGUGUGGGCGGGUGUUGGGCAGUGCCUGCACACUCUGUGGAGCCUGUCGGCUCGUCCACAUGCCUUUGGAUGCCCUUGAUUGGGUGUCUGCGGGCGGAUGGCACGUUUACUUUGAACAAAUUUGAGUCGUCAAGCCAGGCCGAUGUUGCCUGUAAAGUUUUGCAUGGAAUAAUGGAGGAGGACUUCGGUUCUAUUUCGUUGGUUUUCGGAUCCGAAGUAAUGAUCAAAAGAGACAGGCGGGGGCGUUUGUAUGGCUGCGCUAGAGGUGAAAUUCAUGGACCGCGGCCAGACAAACUAAAGCGAAGGCAUUCGUCAAGCAUGUUUUCAUUGGCCAUGAGGGAAAGUCAGAGGCUCGAAGACGAUCAGAUACCGUCCUAGUUCUGACCAUAAACGAUGCCAACUGACGAUCCGUGGUGGUAGCGACGUUGCCUUCCCCACGGGCAGUCGCCGGGAAACCGUUAAGUGUUUGGGUUCCGGGGGAAGUAUGGUUGCAAAGCUGAAACUUAAAGGAAUUGACGGAAGGGCACCACCAGGAGUGGAGCCUGCGGCUUAAUUUGACUCAACACGGGAAAACUCACCCGGCCCGACACUGUGAGGAUGACAGAUGAGAGCUCUUUCUUGAUUUGGUGGUUGGUGGUGCAUGGCCGUUCUUAGUUGGUGGAGCGAUUUGCUGGUUAAUUCCGAUAACGAACGAGACUCCAGCCUGCUAAGGAGUGCGUUCGUCGACUGCGCCCGCGUGGGUGAGCUGACGAUCGUCUGUACCGUGUGCAGUUUGCGCUCUUUGCCUCUCUCCUCUCCUCAUGCACUUCUUCGUGAGAGGGGGUGGGUGGGUGGGUGAGGGGGUGAGAGUGCAGGUUGACGCAUACGUGGUUGGUAGUCUGGCGUUGGCUGCGGGUGCGGCGCGAAUGUCCAUCCUCCAGAGGGACAAGCGGGAGAAGCCACACGAGAUAGAGCAAUAACAGGUCUGUGAUGCCCUUAGAUGUCCGGGGCCGCACGCGCGCUACAAUGACGGUGUCAACGAGUGGGACCUUCUGGCCCGAGAGUUGGGCAAACUGGUCAAUCACCGUCGUGACAGGGAUCGGGGCUUGGAAUUGUUCCCCGUGAACGAGGAAUUCCUAGUAAGUGCAGGUCAUAAGCUUGCGCUGAUUACGUCCCUGCCCUUUGUACACACCGCCCGUCGCUACUACCGAUUGAGUGGUUUAGUAAGAUCCUUGGAUCGGCGUCAUUGUGGCAGUUGCCGGAAGGUCAUUGUCCUGCAGUCGCUGAGAAGACGACCAAACUUGAUCAUUUAGAGGAAGUAAAAGUCGUAACAAGGUUUCCGUAGGUGAACCUGCGGAAGGAUCAUUA
rnacentral:rRNA from 13 species